rnacentral:rRNA from 1 species
UACGUAGGGAGCAAGCGUUGUCCGGAAUCAUUGGGCGUAAAGAGCGUGUAGGCGGUCCGGUCAGUCGGUUGUGAAAGUCAAGGGCUCAACCCUUGAAUGCCGGCCGAUACUGCCGGGCUAGAGUCCGGAAGAGGUGAGUGGAACUCCUGGUGUAGCGGUGAAAUGCGCAGAUAUCAGGAAGAACACCGAUGGCGAAGGCAGCUCACUGGGACGGUACUGACGCUGAGACGCGAAAGCGUGGGGAGCAAACAGG